GGGGGCGUGGCAGAGUCCGGUUUAUUGCGUCGGUCUUGAAAACCGAAGGACGUAGCAAUGCGUCCCGUGGGUUCGAAUCCCACCGCCCCCUCCA
rnacentral:tRNA from 1 species